CAGUAGCCACGGUAAUACAGAGGGUGCGAGCGUUAAUCGGAUUUACUGGGCGUAAAGCGUGCGUAGGCGGCUUUUUAAGUCGGAUGUGAAAUCCCUGAGCUUAACUUAGGAAUUGCAUUCGAUACUGGGAAGCUAGAGUAUGGGAGAGGAUGGUAGAAUUCCAGGUGUAGCGGUGAAAUGCGUAGAGAUCUGGAGGAAUACCGAUGGCGAAGGCAGCCAUCUGGCCUAAUACUGACGCUGAGGUACGAAAGCAUGGGGAGCAAACAGGAUUAGAUACCCGUGUAGUCCCUGUCUCUUAUAU
rnacentral:rRNA from 1 species